rnacentral:rRNA from 1 species
AGUGAACGCUGGCGGUAGGCCUAACACAUGCAAGUCGAACGGCAGCACAGUAAGAGCUUGCUCUUACGGGUGGCGAGUGGCGGACGGGUGAGGAAUACAUCGGAAUCUACUUUUUCGUGGGGGAUAACGUAGGGAAACUUACGCUAAUACCGCAUACGACCUACGGGUGAAAGCAGGGGAUCUUCGGACCUUGCGCGAUUGAAUGAGCCGAUGUCGGAUUAGCUAGUUGGCGGGGUAAAGGCCCACCAAGGCGGCGAUCCGUAGCUGGUCUGAGAGGAUGAUCAGCCACACUGGAACUGAGACACGGUCCAGACUCCUACGAGAGGCAGCAGUGGGGAAUAUUGGACAAUGGGCGCAAGCCUGAUCCAGCCAUACCGCGUGGGUGAAGAAGGCCUUCGGGUUGUAAAGCCCUUUUGUUGGGAAAGAAAAGCGGCAGGUUAAUACCCCGCUGUUCUGACGGUACCCAAAGAGUAAGCACCGGCUAACUUCGUG